rnacentral:rRNA from 1 species
UACGUAGGGUGCGAGCGUUAAUCGGAAUUACUGGGCGUAAAGGGUGCGCAGGCGGUUCUGCAAGUCAGGCGUGAAAGCCCCGGGCUUAACCUGGGAAUGGCGCUUGAAACUACAGGACUGGAGUAUGGCAGAGGGAGGUGGAAUUCCACGUGUAGCGGUGAAAUGCGUAGAGAUGUGGAGGAACACCAGUGGCGAAGGCGACUUUCUGGUCUGUAACUGACGCUGAGGCGCGAAAGCGUGGGGAGCAAACAGG